AGCGAAUGCUGGCGGCAGGCCUAACACAUGCAAGUCGAACGAACCUUUCGGGGUUAGUGGCGGACGGGUGAGUAACACGUGGGAACGUGCCUUUAGGUUCGGAAUAACUCAGGGAAACUUGUGCUAAUACCGAAUGUGCCCUUCGGGGGAAAGAUUUAUCGCCUUUAGAGCGGCCCGCGUCUGAUUAGCUAGUUGGUUGAGGUAAUGGCUCACCAAGGCGACGAUCAGUAGCUGGUCUGAGAGGAUGAUCAGCCACAUUGGGACUGAGACACGGCCCAAACUCCUACGGGAAGCAGCAGUGGGGAAUCUUGCGCAAUGGGCGAAAGCCUGACGCAGCCAUGCCGCGUGAAUGAUGAAGGUCUUAGGAUUGUAAAAUUCUUUCACCGGGGACGAUAAUGACGGUACCCGGAGAAGAAGCCCCGGCUAACUUCGUG
rnacentral:rRNA from 1 species